rnacentral:rRNA from 1 species
UACGUAGGGGGCAAGCGUUGUCCGGAUUUAUUGGGCGUAAAGAGCGUGUAGGCGGCCAGGUAGGUCUGCUGUGAAAACUCGAGGCUUAACCUCGAGAUGUCGGCGGAAACCAUCUGGCUAGAGUCCGGAAGAGGAGAAUGGGAUUCCCGGUGUAGCGGUGAAAUGCGCAGAUAUCGGGAAGAACACCCGUGGCGAAGGCGGUUCUCUGGGACGGUACUGACGCUGAGACGCGAAAGCGUGGGGAGCGAACAGG